CCCUCAUCGUCUCACUCACCCUCAUCUCUUCAGAAACACCCCCAAACCCUUACCCGCCGCCCCCUUUUCCACCACACCCAUCGGCGGCGCCACCUCCGUUCAUCACCAAAAUAACACCCCAUGACCACUAAGCCCCCCUCAUUCCAAAUCCCUGAUUGGUUUUCCUCGAAUCGUAGCCCAGCUCGUCGAAUCUUGAAUCUAGUUCAAGCCCUAAAAUUCCAAACCAACUCAAAUUCAAGAUCUCAGUGGGAUUUGGGUCUAGUUCGACGUUAUUCAUGUGUUAUUGACAAGAACACAUGAUUAAUGUCAAACUUGACCGGAAAAUUCUGAAGAUUCGAAGUUCUCGCAUUUCUUACGGGUCGGGUUAUUUGUUUUCAACUUCUGAGUUUGAUUUUCAUGUGAGUUCUUUACCAUCUUCCUGUUCCUUUUGUGCAUGUUUUGACUUUUUAUUCCUCUUAUCUUCUUGGUUUCUCCGAUAUUCCAAUUCUUUUGCAUGUUUUUCGUCAUAAGUUAAUUAGUGUCUCUGAACUUGAAGACUAGUUUAAUUGGUUUGCCCGUGCUACUUGGGCCCCUGAAGUCUUUAGGACAAAGAGUCUGUGACUCGGUUUAGUCCUCUUCCCCCUUGUAUUGUUUUUUUUUCUUUCUUCAAGUUCUUCUGUGAAACCUCGAGUCAAAUUGGGUUCAAAAAAAAGGGUCUAGCCCACGAUUGGUAAACUCAGACCCACUAAAUGAACUUGGGUCAACUUGGCACAUGCUUUGGCCAGGUUGUCUGAAGUAAUAACAGGGUGCUUAGGGGGUAGAUUGGGGAAUAUAGAUAGGGGAAUCUUUUAUAACUGCCUAAGGAAGCUUCUAGGAAGCUGGGGGUGGGGAUUAAAUUGAACUUCUGAUUUUAACACUAGGGACACAAUAGCAAAAAUGAGAAUUAAAAAGGGGUAAAAGAGCAAAAACUGAAAAUUCUAUUGUUGCCCUAACUCCCUUGUAUAAAAGCUCCAUUAGCUGAAUUCUGAAAAGACAGAAGAAAGAACAGAGAGAUGGGAUAAAAAACAAAACGGCUGGAAUUUUUUUUUAAUAGAAUCACUGUUUCAUUGAACAUCUUCUGUGAUUUUUCAAGUUUUCAAUUUGCUGAAGCAAUUUCUUAUUCAUUUAGUGUGGAAAUGGAUUGAAUUUGGUUUUCAAAAGUUUGGUUUAAAGUUGCUGUAGUGACUGUUCGAUUGAGACUGUUUUUUACUGCUUUGCGGCAAUUCUUAUGGUUUGAACUAGUUUUGUUGGUGCUGGUUUCUGCUACACUGUUGUUGCUUGGCUGAUUCCUCACUCUUUUGUUUCUAUUUCGAUUUCCAGGUAUUCAUCUCAUCUUUUGGUGCAUGAGAAUGGAUGAAUGUGAAGUGGUUUGAUCAAGUUUAAAAUCUAUGAAAGAGCAAUCGAUUAAAUGUUAUUUUUUCCCCUUUGAAACUAGUUGAUUAUUGUUUUAGUCUAAUUUCCUUUUAUGUGGACAUUUGACCCCUUUGUUGAGUAGCCAUUUCAAUAUUGGAUGGUUUGUUGAGAAAAGGACUUGUAAUUUGUUUGAACAUAGGGACUUUAUCUGUUGUAUAUUUGAAUACUGAGGAAGCCAAUGAAAGCUUCAAACAUUUCAUUUAUUAUUUGCUUGGUAAGUGCCUUCGUUGGAUAUACUGUAAUAUUGUUUCUGAAAAAGGGUUAAAUAGUUUCACCUGUAAUAAGGUUAGUGAUUGUGCGAUGUUUAAAGUCUGAUGAUUGACGGUUCAAUAUUAUUUGGUUUGGCUAUUCAGAAUUUAAAUGUUCCAUCAUGUGUAUUAGUAUAUGUUCUACAUGUUAAAGUGUGCACUGAGUGAUGAUUACAUAGUCUGUUCUAUUUGUGAUAGGAUCAAUGUUUAAGAUAAAAUUGGAAGUUGAUAGCAAGGCAUAGUAUAAGAUGUUUUUUUAAGGGAUGAAUAGCAUAGAAGUUCAUUUGGCAUGUCUCUUCGGUUUGCAUAUCGGCUUGCUUCCACUUAGGCUCGAUUCCGAGUCCUUU
rnacentral:lncRNA from 1 species